rnacentral:snoRNA from 1 species
GGGCGAGCAAGAUGAAAAGAUUAUCACAAUCAGUUAUCCCUGUCUUAACAUCCAUGUCGAGACUUAACCAGAUUCUGACUCGCCU